rnacentral:misc_RNA from 1 species
ACCAAUAAAUUUCAUUAUCUACAAUACUGUUUCUAAAUUAAGAUUGUUGUUGGAUUCUAUUGAUUUUAUCAUCACAAACUUGAAGUUGCUGUUUUAUAAGUUCUGACUUUUGAAAGAUUCAUAAAGCUUUACAUUAAUUAAAAGGAUAUAAUUGAAGGUGAUUGUUAUGAUCAUACUUAAUCACCAACACAUAAUUUAUUUAUUAGUUUCGAAGCCAAAGAAGUUGCCAUUCAUUUCUUGGUACAUUUUCUCUUCCGGUUUACUUGGGUUGAAAAAGCUAAUACAGUGCAGCUCUUGUCAAUUUUUUUCUCUGAUUCCUAAUUUUUGUGUAUAGAUCCCAUUUACUUCAUUUCCUUCUCACACUGGCUCAUACUUCUCUAAUUUCAAUAAUGUGAGAUAGUAUCCAUUGAUUAAAAUUGAACAUAAAAUCUUAAUAAUUAGCUAAAGGAUAGUAUUCUUUUGAAUUAUGCUUUUGUACGUUUUGUUUGUGUGUAGUACAUGCAUAUAUCCUUCUCUAGGAGGAAAUGUGUGCUAUAUAGUGGCAUACUCUCGGGCCUUGAACCUGGUUCACUCCUGUGUGGCAAUAGGUGGUUAAAAUCAAAGGAAAUUUUCAUAUAUUUUAUUUUCUUUUUGUAUUGACAAGCUGUUAGCAUGCCUUUAUUUUGACUUUAAUGUAAAUUUGCAAAUCUUUGACAGCAUAUAGUCAUUGAUUUAAACCUAAUAAUAUGUGUUGGCCAUAUCUAAUGUGCGCCAAUCAUCUUGUCUCUUUCUGACCGAUUUCAAGUUUGACAUGCUCUACUGAUUUUGUAGGGCAAGAAAUUUAAAGAUAAAG